CAAAAGAUGCGGAAACCGUUAUGUUUUAUCUCUAGACAUCUGUUUACUUAUACACAUUCACUUGUAAAAGAGUUUUGGGAGACCAUUGAUUUACUUACAGAAGAGUUUGGUGAGAAUAUAGAUUUACUGACAGAAGAAGGUUUGAAAUGUUGGAGAUGUUCCACGCCCGCUUCACAGUCUCCAGGACAAUGAAACAAGAAUCACGUACUGUUACUCAACAAGUUGCUUUUGUGUUACUAAAUUUGGUAAUUCUUAGAAAAUGAAAAACAAAGAGAAAACAGCAUUUAAUAAAAGAAAUGACUUCCUGGUUUUUGCCGAUUAUAUAGUUUAUUAUAGUAUAUUCCUAUUGUGAAUUCUGCGUCAACGACAAUGGAAAUAUCAACCCAGUACACUUGACAAAUUAUAACACUUUUUUUUAUUUAUUUUUUUUAAUAACACCUCGGGAUAAAACAUUAACCAGUCACACAGACCAUAUUAAGAAGAUAUAGCCCGGGUUUCCGAAACAGUGGAAGAAAUAGUUUUAAAAAUUUGUUCCAAAAUGAAACAAAAAAUCUUAGAAGAAGAAUUGACGCUUUUUGAGGUCUUUGUCGAUUGGUAAAUAAGAGAGCCUUUUUUUUUUUUUUUUAAUAAAAUGUGAUUUGACUAUAGCAGUUACGUCCAGGAUUUUCAAAUUCACAUUCUCAACAAUAUUAAGAUAAAUUGUUCACCAUGGCCCAGUAAAAUAUUUUCAUUUUUUAAUUAACAAGUCUAUUUUCAUUUUUAAAUGGUUUUCUAGAAGUUAAAUGAACGCUUACGAAAAUAAAUCCAUUGCUAUGAGCGGGUGAACUAUGUUGGGAUUUUCAAUACUUCGGUGGGUGUGGGUUAUUUUGAACAUUUUCGUGAAGAGAGAGUAAUGGUGCCUCUUCUAAAUAUUCAAAUAAAGUUAUGAAUGGUAUUCUUAAAGUGAACUGAUCAACAGUGACUAUUCGCCUGACCGCUACUACCACUGAUAACGAUGACAUCGGGGCAAGUUAAUUGACUCACAAUUUUAACUUUUUUUCUUCUGCAAAUUGACAUUCUAAAAUAUUUGUUUCAAUUAUUAAGAAAAAUAAUAAAGGCGUUGAAAGUA